AGAAUUUGAUCUUGGUUCAGAUUGAAUGCUGACGGCGUGGAUGAGGCAUGCAAGUCGAACGAAGCUAAUUUAUUAGUUAGUGGCGGAAGGGUUAGUAAUACAUGAAUAAUCUACCUUCAACACUGGGAUAACAGCUGGAAACGGCUGCUAAUACCGGAUGAGGUUAUAGUUAGGCAUCUUUUUAUAAUCAAACGUAGGGGACCUUCGGGCCUGGCGGUUGAAGAGGAGUUUAUGGGAUAUCAGCUUGUUGGUGAGGUAAAAGCUCACCAAGGCUACGACGUCUAGGCGGACUGAGAGGUUGAUCGCCAACACUGGGACUGAGACACUGCCCAGACUUCUACGGAAGGCUGCAGUCGAGAAUCAUUCGCAAUGGGCGAAAGCCUGACGAUGCGACGCCGUGUGAACGAAGAAGGCCCUCGGGUUGUAAAGUUCUUUCGCCUGGGAACAAGAGAAGUAUGUGAAUAACAUGCUAAUUUGAGGGUACCAGGUAAAGAAGCACCGGCUAACUCCGUGCCAGCAGCUGCGGUAAUACGGAGGGUGCAAGCAUUAAUCGGAUUUAUUGGGCGUAAAGAGCGCGUAGGCGGUCAAGUAAGUCAAUAGUGAAAUUUCGAAGCUCAACUUCGAAGCUGCUGUUGAAACUACUUAACUAGAGGAUGGACGGAGAAAACGGAAUUCCACGUGUAGCGGUGAAAUGCGUAGAUAUGUGGAGGAACACCGGUGGCGAAAGCGGUUUUCUAGUUUAUACCUGACGCUGAGGCGCGAAAGCGAGGGGAGCAAACAGGAUUAGAUACCCUGGUAGUCCUCGCCGUAAACUAUGUAUGCUUGAUGUAGCUGGUCUCAACCCCAGUUGUGUCGAAGCUAACGCAGUAAGUAUACCGCCUGGGGAGUACGCUCGCAAGGGUGAAACCUAAAAGAAUUGACGGGGACCCGCACAAGCAGUGGAGCAUGUGGUUUAAUUCGAUGCAACGCGAAGAACCUUACCUAGGCUUGACAUGCAGAGGACGAUAUCAGAGAUGAUAUUUCCCGUGAGGGCCUCUGUGCAGGUGCUGCAUGGCUGUCGUCAGCUCGUGCCGUGAGGUGUUGGGUUAAGUCCCGCAACGAGCGCAACCCUUAUCGUUAGUUGCCAGCAUGUAAAGAUGGGGACUCUAACGAGACUGCCUGGGUUAACCAGGAGGAAGGUGAGGAUGACGUCAAGUCAGCAUGGCCCUUAUGUCUAGGGCUACACACGUGCUACAAUGGUCGAUACAGAAGGCGGCAAAGCCGAAAGGUGGAGCAAAUCCUAGAAAGUCGAUCUCAGUUCGGAUUGUAGUCUGCAAUUCGACUACAUGAAGUUGGAAUUGCUAGUAAUGGCGUGAUU
rnacentral:rRNA from 1 species